AGUCCCUUCCUGUUCACUGAUUAAGAGGUGAUGACCACUCCACUCUACUGCCAUUGUCAACUUUCUCCUGACAUGAACUGAAGCCACGUCUCAUGUGCCCGGUCAUCCACUGGCACAUUGAGUGUUUCCCCUCCAAGCACUUCAAAUCCUGUCCUGCACUGAAGUCAAGUCUCUGAACACCUCAACUCAUGCUUCAUACCCUCAUUCAGUCACUGCUGUGAUCCCUUCCCAACACUCAUGCCUGCUCUGACGUGGACAGGAUGAUCCUAGGAAACAAGUGUGACAUGAAGGACAAAAGACAGGUGUCUAAAGAACGAGGAGAAAAGGUAUGGAGGUCAGAGUUCAGGCUUUCAAGUUC